CACGUAGGGGGCGAGCGUUGUCCGGAUUUAUUGGGCGUAAAGAGCUCGUGAGCGGUUCGGUAAGUCGGGUGUGAAACCUCCAGGCUCAACCUGGAGACGCCACCCGAUACUGCUGUGACUAGAGUCCGGUAGGGGAGCGUGGAAUUCCUGGUGUAGCGGUGAAAUGCGCAGAUAUCAGGAGGAACACCAGCGGCGAAGGCGGCGCUCUGGGCCGGAACUGACGCUGAGGAGCGAAAGCGUGGGGAGCAAACAGG
rnacentral:rRNA from 1 species